GUGGGGAAUCUUCCGCAAUGGGCGAAAGCCUGACGGAGCAACGCCGCGUGAGUGAAGAAGGGUUUCGGCUCGUAAAGCUCUGUUGUCGGGGACGAAUGUGCAGUAUUUGAAUAAAGUAGUGCAAUGACGGUACCUGACGAGGAAGCCACGGCUAACUACGUGCCAGCAGCCGCGGUAAUACGUAGGUGGCAAGCGUUGUCCGGAAUUAUUGGGCGUAAAGGGAGCGCAGGCGGGAAGGUAAGUCGGUCUUAAAAGUGCGGGGCUCAACCCCGUGAUGGGAUCGAAACUAUCUUUCUUGAGUGCAGGAGAGGAAAGUGGAAGUCCUAGUGUAGCGGUGAAAUGCGUAGAUAUUAGGAGGAACACCAGUGGCGAAGGCGACUUUCUGGACUGUAACUGACGCUGAGGCUCGAAAGCCAGGGGAGCAAACGGGAUUAGAUACCCUUGUAGUCC
rnacentral:rRNA from 1 species